AACAGAACGGAGAACCGUAAGUA
rnacentral:siRNA from 1 species